CUAUACAUGACUCUGCGCAUAUCAAUAAGCGGAGGAAAAGUACUACCUACGCUUAGGAUGUUGACGAGACUGUCGAUCUCAUCUAUACAUGACUCUGCGCAUAUCAAUAAGCGGAGGAAAAGAAACUAACUAGGAUUCCCUCAGUAACGGCGAGUGAAGCGGGAAGAGCUCAAAUUUGAAAUCUUCAAGGUUCUACCUUGACGAAUUGUAGUUUAAAGAAGUGUUUUCUGUUGGAGUUUUGGUGAAAGUUCUUUGGAAUAGGACAUCAUAGAGGGUGAGAAUCCCGUAUUUGACCAUUAUUUCCAACUUUGUGAUACACUUUCAAAGAGUCGGAUUGUUUGGGAAUGCAGUCCAAAAUGGGUGGUAAAUUUCAUCUAAAGCUAAAUACUGGCGAGAGACCGAUAGCGAACAAGUACCGUGAGGGAAAGAUGAAAAGAACUUUGAAAAGAGAGUUAAACAGUACGUGAAAUUGUCAAAAGGGAAGCGUUUGACAUCAGUGUUGUUUUUUCCGAAAAUCAAUUACGAAUGUUUUGUUUUUGAGAAGUUAUGACUUCAUCGGCUUGCUUCUUUCUUUACGAAACUUUCUUAAUGCACUUUUCGGUUAACAAGUCAACAUCAAUUUCUUUUGUUGUAAAAGGGUAUGAGGAAGGUGGCUUUCUUUUCGGAGAAAGUGUUUAUAGCCUUGUACCUCUGCAAUCGGAGAGAUUGAGGUCUGCGGCGUAGAUCCUUCGGGGUUAGAUACAUUUGUGCUAAGUUAUAGCUUUUCAUAGACAACUUGUUGACUAUGAUUCAGUCAUGUAGCUUACUCGCUUAUGCUAUUUUACCUACGCUUAGGAUGUUGACGAGACUGUCGAUCUCAUCUAUACAUGACUCUGCGCAUAUCAAUAAGCGGAGGAAAAGGUACUACCUACGCUUAGGAUGUUGACGAGACUGUCGAUCUC
rnacentral:rRNA from 1 species